rnacentral:rRNA from 1 species
CACUCUCUUAUAAUAGUUAUGUUCUUUAAACUUAAAAAAUUUGGCGGUGUUUUAGUCUAUUCAGAGGAAUUUGUUUUUUAAUCGAUAAUCCACGAUGGACCUUACUUAAGUUUGUUAUCAGUUUAUAUACCGUCGUUAUUAGAAUAUUUUAUAAGGAAGUUAAUUUUCAAGAUUUUUUUUAGAAAAUAUAUCAGAUCAAGGUGUAGCUUAUAUUUAAGUAAAAAUGAAUUACAAUAAAUUUAUUUAUACGAAUAUAAAUUUGAAAUGUUUAUUGAAGGUGGAUUUGAUAGUAAAAUUAUAAAGAUUAAUAAUUUGAUUAUAGCUCUAAAAUAUGC